GAUGAACGCUAGCGGCAGGCCUAAUACAUGCAAGACGAACGGUAAGUUGAGUAGCAAUACUUAGCCAAGAGUGUCGUACGGGUGCGUAACACGUAUGCAACCUACCCUAUACAGGAGGAUAGCCUAGGGAAACCUGGAUUAACCCUUCAUAGUAUUAUUGGAUGGCAUCAUUUGAUAAUUAAAACUGAGGUGGUAUAGGAUGGGCAUGCGUCUGAUUAGUUAGUUGGCGGGUAAUGGCCCACCAAGACGAUGAUCAGUAGGGGUUCUGAGAGGAAGAUCCCCCACACUGGCACUGAGAUACGGGCCAGACUCCUACGGGAGGCAGCAGUAGGGAAUAUUGGUCAAUGGGCGCAAGCCUGAACCAGCCAUGCCGCGUGCAGGAUGACGGCCCUAUGGGUUGUAAACUGCUUUUGUACGGGAAGAAACCUCAUUACGUGUAAUGAGUUGACGGUACCGUGAGAAUAAGGAUCGGCUAACUUCGUGCCAGCAGCCGCGGUAAU
rnacentral:rRNA from 1 species